rnacentral:lncRNA from 1 species
AUUCCACGUGUUUCAUCACCUCCCAGCAACCCGUCUGCCUCCUCUUCAUCCACCCGCGAUCAACGCCAUUUGCCUCCUCCACUGAUUUCUCACAUCCCAGCAUCCCGCGGCAAUCUUCUUCAGCAAUCCCGUGUCCGUGCAACCUCCCAAGAUCCCCCUUCUACCAGCUCCUCCGCAUCUCAUCCCAGCAAAGAACCAGUUUAUGAGUCCGUGAUUGCAGCCCGCGAUCAGCCUCCUCCAGCAUCCGCGGCUUCAUCCGUCCGCUCCUCCCGCAGGUCCCGUGAUCAGUGCCCAGCUUUCUCCUCCGUUCCAACGAUCGUGAGCAUCUCGGCGCCAUUCACCCCCUCCGUUCCAGCAUCCCAGCUCCUUCAGAUCAGAUUCUCAGCAUCCCGCAUCCAGCAGCACGCGGCCGUUCGGAGAUCCAACUCCAGUGAUCCCGCCGCAUCAUCCUCUCCCGUUUCUCGCCAUCAAGGAGCCACCGACCCCCUCCUCCGUGAUCCGCCCAGCAAUCCCACGGCCAGCUCUCGGAGAUCCA